UGAUGCCAUCUUAUUGCCACUUCUCAGU
rnacentral:piRNA from 1 species